rnacentral:rRNA from 1 species
UACGUAGGGACCAAGCGUUGUUCGGAUUUACUGGGCGUAAAGAGCUUGUAGGCGGUUUGUCGCGUCUGCUGUGAAAUUUCGGGGCUCAACCCCGAACUUGCAGUGGGUACGGGCAGACUAGAGUGUGGUAGGGGAGACUGGAAUUCCUGGUGUAGCGGUGAAAUGCGCAGAUAUCAGGAGGAACACCGAUGGCGAAGGCAGGUCUCUGGGCCACUACUGACGCUGAGAAGCGAAAGCAUGGGGAGCGAACAGG